rnacentral:rRNA from 1 species
AGAGUAUGAGGUUGAUAGGGCAGAGGUGGAAGUGCAGUAAUGCAUGCAGCUGACUGUCACUAAUAGGUCGAGGGCUUAUCCA